rnacentral:rRNA from 1 species
UACGGAAGGCAGCAGUGGGGAAUAUUGCACAAUGGGCGAAAGCCUGAUGCAGCUAUGCCGCGUGUAUGAAGAAGGCCUUAGGGUUGUAAAGUACUUUCAUCGGGGAGGAAAAACAAAACUAAUAAUUUUAUUUCUUGACGUUACCCGAAAAAGAAGCACCGGCUAACUCCGUGCCAGCAGCCGCGGUAAUACGGAGGGUGCUAGCGUUAAUCAGAAUUACUGGGCGUAAAGAGCACGUAGGUGGUUUUUUAAGUCAGAUGUGAAAUCCCUGGGCUUAACCUAGGAACUGCAUUUUGAAACUGAAAUACUAGAGUAUCGUAGAGGGAGGUAGAAUUCUAGGUGUAGCGGUGAAAUGCGUAGAUAUCUGGAGGAAUACCUGUGGCGAAAGCGGCCUCCUAAACGAAUACUGACACUGAGGGUGCGAAAGCGUGGGGAGCAAACAGGGAUUAGAUACC